CAGAGGGGAAGAAGCUGUUCCUGAAUCACUGAGUGUGAGCCUUCAGGCUUCUGUACCUCCUACCUGAUGGUAGCAGUGAGAAAAGGGCAUGCCCUGGGUGCUGGAGGUCCUAGUCCCGGCAAUAUCCUUGCCGAGUUGUCAGCUCGACACUCAACCCAGCACGGGCGGAAAGCGUGCGAGGAGCCGGCUGGAUUCGAACCCGAGACCGCUCGCCUCGAAAUCCUGUUCAGAUGCCGCUACACCACCGGCCGGCUUUGAUAGAGUGGACAGGGAGUAUCUGUUUCCCAGGGUAGCGAUGUCUAACAGAGGGCAUUGAAGAAAAAGAGGUAAUUUUGAUAUCACGUGUAUGUCUAUCACUCAUGAUCCUGGGUGCCAACAUCUCUCCUGGCCCAACAUCCUGGGAUGCAAACACGAAGGCACGAUGGCAGCCAGAUUUCACCGGGGGUUCGAGGGGAUUUGUCACCAAAGACUCCAGCAGACUUCUACUGAAGUCUUAGGCGGCCAAGGUUUUUAUUUAAAUGGUUCCAGAUGGUCUGGCCUCUACAGAGCCCGGAUCUCAACACCGUCGAGACUGCCUGGGAUUACCCGGAGAGACAGAAGCAAGUCAGGCAGCCGAAGUCCGCAGACAAACUGUGGCAAGGGGCUCGGAACAACCAGCCAGCCCAUUUCCUUAUAGAACUGCCGGACAGUGUACCUAAGAGAAUUGGUGCAGUCUUAAAGGUCACACCAAAUAUCAGAAUCAGAAUCCUCCAUUAUUGCCAAGUAUGUGGACACAUACAGGGAGUUUGAUGCCAGUUUCCCUGAGCUCUCGCUGCACAGAAUCAAAAAGCAAACAAAACAAUAAUGCAAAUAAUCGUGAACUAUAUACAGUGAGGUAUACCUGUGUAUGUACAGGUGGACUUGAUUUAUAAUAGACUAAAUUUCAAGAGUUCAUAAGACUGAUGGCAUAUGGAAAGAAACUGUUCUUGUACCUAUUUGUCCUGGCAUACAGUGAUCUAAAGCGCCUACCAGAAGGAAGGAGUUGGAACAGGUGAUGUCCAGGGUGUGAUGGGUCUACAAUGAUGCUGCUUGCUCGCUUCCUGAAUCUAGAUGCAUAUAAGUCCUGGAUCGAGGGCAGCUUCACACCAAUAAUCCUUUCUGCAGCCCUGACAAUUCUUUGGAGUCUAUUCUUGCCUUGUCUGGGAGCUGAUCCAAACCAGACAGUGAUGGACGAACAGAGAACAGACUGCAUUAUUCCUGAAUAGACAAUAAUCAAAUAUUGAUUUGACAGUUUCUUUUGCUGUUUACUGCUCUUUAUAGUAAAUGUUUUGAUAUCUGGAAACUUUUCAUUUCAUUUUUUUUUUAUUUGACAAAAUCCUUAUUAUCUACACGCUUUAUAUACUCAAGACCUGUUUGAUCAUUACAAAAACCAGAGAGAGAAUGGAUUAAAAAUUACAAUGCAGUUGAAACUGAUUAGGGCCCAGUCCAAGUUAAAGCCCGCCACGCAGUCUCAACACCAGAUGCAGAGUUGAUUCUUUCUGAAUGUUGUAGUCAGAAAAGGUUCGUCCAUCUUCCAGCUGCUUCCCAGCAUCAUUUCAUUAUUUUUGAAAGCAUCUUCGCUUUGCAGGAUUUUCUUUUUACAUCUGCCCCAAGACUUUUGCGAAGUGCUGACCGAUGAGGAGUAUUCUGACUGGCUACAUCACUGGAGGGGCCACUGCACAGGGCCAGGAAAAAGCUGCAGGGAGUUGGAAACUCAGUCAGCUCCAUCACGGGCACCGGCCUCCCCAGUAUCUGGGACAUCUUCAAGGAGCGAUGCUUCAAACAGGCAGCGUCCAUCAUUAAGGACCCCCAUCACCCAGGAUGUGCCCUCAUCAGGGAGGAGGUACAGGAGCCUGAAGACACACACUCAACGAUUCAGGAACAGCUUCUUCCCCUCCACCAACAGAUUUAUGAAUGGUCCAUGGAGGCCAACACAGUAUUUUGCUCUCUCUUUGCAUUAUUUAUUAACUUUAUAUAUUCUGAUCAUAAUUUAUGUUAAUGUUUAUGUACUGCACUGUGCAUGGUCAAGACGGUGCUGAGGUGCAGGGUCCGUCAAGGUGGCAGCUGAGACUGAGUUGCCCCUUCGGUUCGUAGGGGCCGUCCUCGGAACGGAAGGGAGGGGUCAGAGGUCAGGGGUCAGGGUUUAGGGACGGGGACGUGGAGCAGUUGGAGGUCAGGCCACAGCCCAGCACUCGGCUCCAUGUUCCAUACUCGAAGCCUAAUGAUGUCUAAGAAAAGAGGUGCCGGCUUUGGUCCAGAGAUGGUUCACAAGAAUAAUCCCAGGAAUGAGAGGGUUAAUCUAUGAGGAGUAUUUGAUGCCUCCUGCAGUUUUGAAAAAUGACGGGGAGGGGAUCUCAUUGGAUCCUCCUGAGUAUUGAAAGGCCUCGACAGGGUGGACGUGGAGAGGAUGUUUCCUAUAGUGGGGGAGUCUAGGACCAGAGGACACAGAUAGAGUGGAUGUGGAGAGGAUGUUUCCUAUAGUGGGGGAGUCUAGGACCAGAGGACACAGAUAGAGUAGACGUGGAGAGGAUGUUUCCUAUAGUGGGGGAGUCUAGGACCAGAGGACACAGAUAGAGUGGACGUGGAGAGGAUGUUUCCUAUAGUGG